rnacentral:rRNA from 1 species
ACUGAAAAUGCUAAGAUGGGCCUUCAUAAAGCCCUUUAGACACACAGGUUUGGUCCUAGCCUUGAAAUCAAUUUUUACUUGACUUACACAUGCAAGUCUCCGCACACCCGUGAAAACGCCCUUCCUACCCUACCGGGAUAAGGAGCUGAUAUCAGGCACAUAUUACCCAAAACAUCUAGCCACGCCACACCCACAAGGGCCCUCAGCAGUGAUUAACAUUAAAAAUAAACGUCAGUUUGACUUAGUCAAAUGAAAACAAGAGCCGGCCAAUCUGGUGCCAGCCGCCGCGGUUACACCAUGUGGCUCAAAUUGACCUCAACACGGCGUAAAGCGUGAUUAAAGAAAUACACCCCCUGGGGUCAAACUAAAACUAAGCUGUAGUACGCCUGCUCUUAAGAAGCCCUAUUCCGAAAGAUACCCCAACUCACCAACUUGAACUCACAACAGCUAGAACACAAACUGGGAUUAGAUACCCCACUAUGCCUAGUCAUAAACUUUAACUUACACCUCAAUCGCCAGGGAACUACGAGCAAAGCUUAAAACCCAAAGGACUUGACGGUACCCCAUAUCCCCCUAGAGGAGCNNGUCCUAUAACCGAUACCCCCCGUUCAACCUCACCAUUUUUAGUUUCCCAGC